GUAAAAAUAACUUCCACUAGAGGGUCAAAUGUAAAUGUGGCACAAUGUACAGCGUAGAUUCAACUGAGCUCUUGGAUUUAACCUUUAAAUACUGAUCCUAAACUAUGAGAGACUGUACUCCAACUUUGGUCAUCCUCAGUAUUGAAGGUUUUCCUGGCUAUCACGUGUGAAGCAUUUCUCUUUAGGCUAUAUCUGAAAGCCAUCUCCCCUGUUUAGGGUUCUUGCUUCUGUAUUAAAACCGAGAUAUGUCUUGUUUAUUUUCUUGGUUCUUACUUCUUAACACUCCAUUUACAGAGAGUGAUGGAGCUGGAGGCUGAUGAAUCCCCACACAUUUUUGUGUAUGUUGAUGAGGCAGGAUUCAACUUGACCAAAGUCAGGAGAUGUGGCCAUAAUAUUAUUGGUCACCAAGCCACCGUUGAUGUGCCAGGCCAGCGUGGAGGGAACAUUACAAUGUGUGCUGCCAUAUGUGGGAAUGGUGUACUCAGCCACAUUCCCAUCAUUGGGCCCUAUAACACACAACGUCUCCUCAAUUUCCUGGAAAUUCUUUACAGGGAUCUCAUUCCUGAGAAUGAGAGGGGGUUGGUAAGAAAUGACUUGCCAUCAUAUGUUAUAGUUUGAGACAAUGUAAGUUUCCAUCCUUCAAAUACAGUCAGGGAAUUGUUUGUUGCCCACCCAUGUUUUGUGAUGGAGUUUCUCCCACUAUACUCCCCAUUCCUAAAUCCCAUUGAGGAGUUCUUUUCAGCAUGAAACAAUGAUGAGAAAUGUUUGAAUAAAUAUUUUGUUGAAAGUAUAGUGUGUGCCAUGACUUUUUGACAUCAAUACUAUUCAGCUGCCUACAUAUACAAUGUUAGCAAUUGGACAAUAUUACAUAGUGGGUAACUAUCACACUUUCAGAGUACACUGUCAUUUGACAAGAUAUCUUUGCAUUUUGACUGUCUUGGUCUAAGCAAUGAUAAAGGAACCUUUUGUUUUGAUGACAAUAAUUUAUUCAUUGAUGGAUUUAUUUACAUUUGAAUCAUGAGUUAAUUCUUUUGGUUGAGUAAUCACCUUUUGCAGGUCACAUAGAGUGGUGGGCUGAAUGUACCACAUGAUGUGAGGAUUGUACUUAGAGUUUUGACAAUUGUAAGUUUGUUUCAGUAAAUGUGCCAAAUCGAUUGAGAAAAAUUUUAAAUGCAGUCAAGGUAUAAUCAGGUUUUGAUUUUACUUUACCUGUAACCCAAAUCAUUUAUUUAUAUAAUAAUAGGCCUAGUGUGUACAGUGCUGUGUGGUUUAGGGCCCUCAUAGGUAUGUGGAAUUAUGUUUAAAAAAAUAUAUAUAUAUAAUA